rnacentral:rRNA from 1 species
AAUCCGGUUGAUCCUGCCGGACCCCACUGCUAUCGGGAUAGGACUAAGACAUGCUAGUUGAGCGCUUCCAGCCAACACGGGAGCGCAGCGCACAGCUCAGUAACACGUGGCUAAUCUGCCCUUGGGACCGGAAUACCCCCGGGAAACUGGGGCUAAUUCUCGAUAGGUGAAGAACUCUGGAAUGAGUCUUUGCCAAAAAGACGUUUACGUUAUGCUCGUAGGCGUUGCCCAAGGAUGAGGCCGCGACCGAUCAGGUUGUUGGUGAGGUAAUGGCUCACCAAGCCUUUUACCGGUGCGGGCCGUGAGAGCGGGAGCCCGGAGAUGGGCACUGAGACAGGGCCCAGGCCCUACGGGGCGCAGCAGUCGCGAAAACUUUGCAAUACACGAAAGUGUGACAGGGCUAUCCCGAGUGCCAUCCGCUGAGGAAGGCUUUUACCCAGUCUANAACGCUGGGGGAAUAAGGAGAGGGCAAGUCUGGUGUCAGCCGCCGCGGUAAUACCAGCUCUCCGAGUGGUGUGGAUGUUUAUUGGGCCUAAAGCAUCCGUAGCUGGCUGAGUUAGUCCCUUGUUAAAUCCACCGAAUUAAUCGUUGGAUUGCGGGGGAUACUGCUCGGCUAGGGGACGAGAGAGGCAGACGGUAUUUCUGGGGUAGGGGUGAAAUCCUAUAAUCCCAGGAGGACCACCAGUGGCGAAGGCUGUCUGCUAGAACGCGCCCGACGGUGAGGGAUGAAAGCUGGGGGAGCGAACCGGAUUAGAUACCCGGGUAGUCCCAGCUGUAAACGAUGCAGACUAGGUGUUUGGACGGCCACGUGCCGUUCUAGUGCCGCAGGGAAGCUGUUAAGUCUGCCGCCUGGGGAGUACGAUCGCAAGAUUGAAACUUAAAGGAAUUGGCGGGGGAGCACCACAAGGGGUGAAGCUUGCGGUUUAAUUGGAGUCAACGCCGGAAAUCUCACCGGGAGCGACAGCAGUAUGAAGGCCAGAUUAAAGGUCUUGCCAGACGAGCUGAGAGGAGGUGCAUGGCCGUCGCCAGUUCGUGCCGUGAGGUGUCCUGUUAAGUCAGGCAACGAGCGAGACCCCCACC